rnacentral:rRNA from 1 species
GGCUCAGGAUGAACGCUAGCGGCAGGCUUAACACAUGCAAGUCGAGGGGCAUCGGGAGUAGCAAUACUUGCCGGCGACCGGCGCAAGGGUGCGUAACGCGCGAGCAACAUGCCCGUAUCAGGGGGAUAAUCCAUGGAAACGUGGUCUAAUACCCCAUAGUAAUUAUGUAAGGCAUCUUAUAUAAUUUAAAGCUUUGGUGGAUACGGAUUGGCUCGCGUGACAUUAGCUAGAUGGUAAGGUAACGGCUUACCAUGGCUACGAUGUCUAGGGGUUCUGAGAGGAAGGUCCCCCACACUGGAACUGAGACACGGUCCAGACUCCUACGGGAGGCAGCAGUGAGGAAUAUUGGACAAUGGAUGGAAAUCUGAUCCAGCCAUGCCGCGUGCCAGGAAGACGGCCCUAUGGGUUGUAAACUGCUUUUGUAUGGGAGCAAUAAGGGCUACGUGUAGUCCGAUGAGAGUACCAUACGAAUAAGCACCGGCUAACUCCGUGCCAGCCGCAGC